CUACGGGAGGCAGCAGUGGGGAAUAUUGGACAAUGGGCGCAAGCCUGAUCCAGCAAUGCCGCGUGAGUGAUGAAGGCCCUAGGGUUGUAAAGCUCUUUCGGCGGGGAAGAUGAUGACGGUACCCGCAGAAGAAGCCCCGGCUAACUUCGUGCCAGCAGCCGCGGUAAUACGAAGGGGGCUAGCGUUGUUCGGAAUUACUGGGCGUAAAGGGCGCGUAGGCGGCGCAUUAAGUCAGGUGUGAAAGCCCUGGGCUCAACCCAGGAAUUGCACUUGAUACUGAUGCGCUUGAAUCCGGAAGAGGAUGACGGAAUUCCCAGUGUAGAGGUGAAAUUCAUUGAUAUUGGGAAGAACACCAGUGGCGAAGGCGGUCAUCUGGUCCGGUAUUGACGCUGAGGCGCGAAAGCGUGGGGAGCAAACAGGAUUAGAUACCCGGGUAGUCC
rnacentral:rRNA from 1 species